rnacentral:rRNA from 1 species
GAUGAACGCUGGCAGCGUGCCUAAUACAUGCAAGUAGAACGCUGAAGGAGGAGCUUGCUCUUCUGGAUGAGUUGCGAACGGGUGAGUAACGCGUAGGUAACCUGCCUGGUAGCGGGGGAUAACUAUUGGAAACGAUAGCUAAUACCGCAUGACAACAGUUAUUGCAUGAUAACUGUUUAAAAGGGGCAACUGCUCCACUACCAGAUGGACCUGCGUUGUAUUAGCUAGUUGGUGAGGUAACGGCUCACCAAGGCGACGAUACAUAGCCGACCUGCGAGGGUGAUCGUCCACACUGGGACUGAGACACGGCCCAGACUCCUACGGGAGGCAGCAGUAGGGAAUCUUCGGCAAUGGACGGAAGUCUGACCGAGCAACGCCGCGUGAGUGAAGAAGGUUUUCGGAUCGUAAAGCUCUGUUGUAAGAGAAGAACGAGUGUGAGAGUGGAAAGUUCACACUGUGACGGUAUCUUACCAGAAAGGGACGGCUAACUACGUG